UCCCAAAAAGUUACUUAAAUAAAUAUAACCGAGUAAAUGUAGUUACCACCCAACUAUGAGGUUCUUCUUGCCCAGCCUGUUUGCUCAGGUGGGCUGCCAUGUCUUUCCAAUUAAAGAUGGCGGGUUGAACUGAAACUGGUUGCACUGGAUUUUCUCUUGAGGUAUCAGAGCAAAAAAGGAUGACUUAUCAGAUUUGUGUCUGUAAAACAAGAAAAAGAAAAUCCAAGUAUCAUUUUCCUUCUACUUCUCAUUUAUUCUCAACUUUCUGUUGAUCAAUUCUAAAAAAAAAGUAAAUAUGUGUUGAAAUGUUAGGUGCGGCACCCCUGCAGAACAAAAAGUGUUGCGUGUGUGUUUAUGCUUUGAAGUUGUGAAGGUGUGAGAAGUCAGUAAUCUGUAGGAAGUGCAGAAGCUGCUGUAGGCUGCCAGUCAUGUAGAAAAUGCUCUCAUUUGUUUAGAUUAAUUACAGCAACAUCUCUAAGCCAACGCCUUGCUUAUUUCCUCAAGUCAAAAGGCUUCAUGUUGGUCUGAAAGUUUCUUCUUGUGACUUUCUGCUUAGUUUACUUUCCUGUUUCUCCUCCCUUCACUUAUCCACCAAUUCUCUCCAUCCAUCUCCUUCUUUCUCAGCAUAUCUAUCCUAUCCAUGUUGCCUCUCUCUCCGGCUGUUUGAAGGAGAGCUCUUUGAGGGUCCGCUGACUUAAUUAGGGUAAUGGGGUUUUGACACUUGAGACUGAACAAGUAAAAAAGAUGUAGAAGAGGGAUGGAGAAGGGGGCAAAUGAAAGGACAUUGUUAUUAGUUUUAUACAAAACCCUUGGUUCACAAAUCUAACAAAAAACACUCAGUACUCCAUGGAGGAAUGGUUGGCUGAGACAUUUGUUGCAUUUUUUAUAAUUCCUUCAUUAGUAUGAAUGCUUAAUUGUUCCAUUUAUGUUUGCAGGAAAUAGCAACUUUUUGGGCACAUUUCCUCAGCAGUCAAGCAUUCCCAAGCCUUUCUCAGAAAAAGAAAAUCCUAAUUAUCUGAGUUUGUGAUUUUCACCUUUUUUAUGGUCUCUGUUCUUAACUGCAGAUCGAGAACUUUUCAGGGACCAUUGAGGGGAUUAACUUAGUUUGCUGGAAACAAAUUUGUCAAUUUUUCUUUUCCUAUCAGAAGGAAGCUGAAUAUUUUGACAUGCUUCUUGAACUUUUGUGUAUUUUGUCGCACUGAAAGGCACAAACAUGUGUAUUUAAUUGGAAUUUUAUGUAGCAGACCAACAGAAAUUAAGACAUUACUAUAAAGUAAAAAAAAAAAUGAGACAUGGUUUUCAAAAUGUUUCAGAAAUUUGAAAAGAGUGGAGUUUAUAUCUACUACUUAAGUCUCUUUGGAUCAAAGUUUGUUGUACUUCCCACACAGCUUCUGGUGAACAGCAAAUAAUACUCCAUUCAGCUUUCUUUCAACAAGGCCUUUGUUUUUACAAAUAUUACCUAAACUUUACAUUUAAAUCCACAACUUAUAUUUGCCAACUCUCCAGAUUCAUUAAGGGCCUGCUUUUCUGACUAAUAAUAUUUAGUCCCCAUCAAAGCAGAUUGAAGGUUGUGGUUGUUGUGAAAAAUGUUCCAGGGGUAUGAAUUCUUUCAGAGGUGACUGUAAAUCUAACAAGUUUAUAUUCCUCUGGAAGUCUGGUUUCUACAUGUUCAGCAGAAGAUACAGUAUUAUUUACAAAUGCUGUCCCUGGCUGCACAAUUUAAAUCUGGACCUAAAAGAAAGAAAAAUAAACAAGAACAGAUGAGUAAAAGAAUGAUAUGCACAAAACAAAGAAGUCAGGAAGAAGGUAGUGGGAAAGAAGAAAAUUGAAAGCCAAGUUCUUGUCCAUCUUCGUUGGGGUUUAUUUACAUUUCAGAGAUUUUCUCUGUAUGCUGUCUGGCACAUUCAUAAGACAGAAAAUCAUGUGGCUUUUUAAAGCAAAGUUAAUAUAGUUAUUGUUUAAUUUGAAUUGAACUGAACAUAUGCAGUCCAUAUCUUUAAGCAUAUGUUUAUUGCCAUAAACUGUCGAAAGUCUUAUACUAUGACUGAACUGUGCUUUAAUUCUACAAUUGGUGAAAACUCAUGCUUAGUUAUAUAUCCACAGAUCAAUUUUCUCUGAGCUCAUAUGUACUACUCAUGCUCAUACAACAGUAUAUUGUGGUUUUACUUUUUACUCAGUUCUUAUUGAAAUGUCUUUCAAUUAUAAUGUUGGGUCAGUAUACUAUUUGUUUUCUAUAGUUGACAGUUUGAUGCUGAUCUGUGUACUCUUACAAGCUGGAAUAAAUUUGUUAUCAUGUCAGAAUGAGUCUGUUGUUGUUCGGUGAACAUAUUUCCCACCUGGUUGUGCUGCUAUGUUGUGUUCGGCACCCAUAGUGGUACCACUGUGGGUGUCUUUAGAAAUAUAAGACUCAGAUCUUUGAGGACCACAAAUGUAGGCUAAGUGGGAGGAAAAUAAGAAGAACUGAAAUAAGCAGAGACUGGUUUUUCAAGGCAUUUGUUUGUGCAGUGUUUGUAGAAAUGUUUUACAAUAUGCAAAGACAAUUAGAAGUUAUACAGUCAUAUUUCUUUAAAACUCCACCUCUUUUCGAAGUUGAGAUCGGAUUUUAAUUUUUCUUGCACGAUCCAUGCUCCCCUCUGCAGCAGGAUGCAGGCAUGAUUAGGAGUAAGGUACUCUUGCUGCUUCCAUAAGAGGGAAAAUAAUCAAAUGAACUUGAUUAAUAAACUGCAUUAUCAGUAAAUGUGACCACCUCUAAAAAUUCAGGAGUUUUAGCAGUUUUCUUAUUUAUUGCUUGAAGACGUUUUACUAUGCCAAGACGGAAAGACAUUAAUAUUAACAUGAGAAAUGCAACUGUUGCCUGCCAUCAAUUUCAACCAGGGUUAAAUGGCAAUUUCCAUACAAUCUAUCAUACUGAGUGAAAGGAUGUUAAGUCAGAAGAUGAAUGUGACUUUUUUGGAGCCAUAUUCACCAGUUGACAUUAGUAGUUGGAAAAAGUAUGGAUUGGAUUUUCAGUUACUAUUCAAUGAAUCGCAUUACAUCUCAAACAAUAUUUUCAGUAUGUGUCAGACCAAAGUUAGGCUGUUGGCCCACUGUGUUCUGCACCAUUUUUGGGGAAAAAACAGACAGAGCACAUCGGCGCUAAUAUACCUACUUUCAGCCCUGGUGGUGGAGGGCUGAUAAUUUUCGGAUUACAGAGUCAAUUCCUGUGUCAAAUGUAAAAUUAUCAGCAAGGCUGCAGAAGCCUGGCAGAAAAUGGAUCAUAUAACAGGACAAUGAUCCUCAAUUAAAGCUGAAAAUCUUCAAUAGCAUGGCUGGCAGAUAGUUUAUUUAUUGAGUUUAAAAAUAUAUUGUUCUGCAUAAACACUCUUUUUCUCAUAAACCUACACAGAAGUGUUGUCAAAGCUUCCCAGCCUUUUAUUUCAAUUGGAAAUGGAAUAAAAGAUUAAAUAAUUUGUAUGGCUUCACAUUCCUGCCAAAAAUCUGAGGUGUGUAUUAAACAUGUAUUAAUCAAGAACACACAGAGCUGAACGUGGCCGCCAUUACAUUCAUUAAAAUAGAGAGUGAGCGGUUUAUAUGUUCCUCUGGCUUUUGGUAGGAAUGUGAUGCCAUAAAUUUCUUUAAUAUGAAUUUGUGACUUACAGAACAUAAAAAUUACUAUAUUUAUACAAUAGCUGAUUGACUGCAGCUGUAGAGUUUAUUCUGAAACAAUUGAAAGUGUCUCACUGGUCUAACUUGACAUUUCAUUGACACUGUUCAAAAACCUACUGUCAUAAAUUCCUUGUUUCCUGCCAUGAUUCAUGUUGCCACUCUGUUUACAGCUCCUCCCUUUGCUGCUGAUUAGCUCUUUGCUCUCACCUGUGCCUCUGCUUUAGUGCUGCUGAUUACUGAUUGCUCUCACCUGUGCUGCUCUAAAACUCCUGCUCUACACUCACCCAGAGUAAGAUUGUUGUCAGUCAUUGAGUGGUUCUGUCCCAUGACCUUUCUUAAGAGAAGGUUCCAUCUUUCUGACCCCCAGCCCUGCCUGCUCCAUGUUUGUACUACUAGUUUCACGUACCUGAAUAUUGAUUAUUGCCUCAUGGAUUUGAACUUGUUCUGCCUUCCAUGUCUGCCUGUUGCUGGCCUUGAGUAUUCGACCCACCAUUGAGUUAAAGAUUACAAGCACUUGGAUCAUUCACGUCCUCUUGAGCGCACACAGUUCCCAGCGUAGAGCGUGUCUUUCACUAUAAGGUCUUGUGGGUGAAACAAUCCCUGGAUAUUUUGCUUACCUCCAGGGAUUUAAGACAAUCAAGGUCAGAGUCACUGUAUAUCUGAAGAAACCACCUGUCAGUUAAACCAUUACUUACACAAUUCUGCUUGUUUGCUGCCAGUCACUCACUAUCCUGUCUUCUUCGAGUCUGACCAGGUGGCUGCUUCUGAGAGACCGUUAUAUUCCAACUUAUGCAUUUCCUAUUGUUUCAAUAAACAUUGCUUUUACCUUUACUGGGUUGUAAUUUACAUCUUGAGUUUAACUCGUUGAUCUGUAAGACCUUAUUCAAACUAGUGCUUUGCAUUAUCCCUAAGAAAUGAACACUAAAAUUGUCUGAGAAAACUUAGGCUUAGAUGGACAUUAUGUCCCUCUGAUUUAUCACCUUACUUCAAUCAACCAAACCUAUAAACUGGGGAUCCGCAAAUCUUGGCCUCAAAAACCUACAGGUUUUAUAUUUGGCUCUGCUUCACCACACUCAAGUCAAAUGAUCAGGUCAUUAGCUUGACUAUGGAGAAGUUGACUGCAUACUGAAAAGGUAAUUCAGCCAUUUACCUGAAAAAGGUCAAAAGUCAAUCAUUUGAAUUUCUCUCUUAGACCGCAACCCACUUCCUCCAUUAUUAUUAUUAUUAUUAUUAUUAUUAUUAUAUUCACAGUUCUGAUUACAGACGCUCUCAGUGAGUGCCAGCUG